rnacentral:rRNA from 1 species
UACGGAGGGGGCUAGCGUUGUUCGGAAUUACUGGGCGUAAAGCGCGCGUAGGCGGACCGGCAAGUCGGGGGUGAAAGCCCGAGGCUCAACCUCGGAAUUGCCUUCGAUACUGCGGGUCUCGAGUCCGGGAGAGGUGAGUGGAAUUCCUAGUGUAGAGGUGAAAUUCGUAGAUAUUAGGAAGAACACCAGUGGCGAAGGCGGCUCACUGGCCCGGUACUGACGCUGAGGCGCGAAAGCGUGGGGAGCAAACAGG